rnacentral:lncRNA from 1 species
CACCCCGCGUCACGCUGGCCGCAGGGAUCACGCCACAGAGGUCGGAGGGGACACCCCACAGAGACACGGGUUGGAGAGGACACCCCACGGCCACACAGGUCGGAGGGGACAUCCCACAGCUGGUUGUGCUGCCAGAAGGAGAAGUUGCUGAAUUACGCCCUCGAGACUCAGAGAAGUUACCAGGGAAGAACCAUUUGUUUACCUUACAUUGAAAUCAGCCAUAAAAUCAGAAUCUUCCAGAAUCCAGAUUGACAACAUGAACAAAACAAGGGGACAUUGGACAAGUGUUGCAGACAAAUGCGUUCAGUGUUACAGGUUUUGCCUCAUUCUCCCUUCUACUCCUUGCAGCAAACAGAAGGAACAUAGAAAUACAACCAAGGGAGAAGUUUGUUGGGAGCAUCACAAAGAUAGCUGA